rnacentral:misc_RNA from 1 species
GAUGAAAGAACGUAGCGAAAUGCGAUAAGUAAUGUGAAUUGCAAAUUCAGUGAAUCAUCGAGUCUUUGAACGCACAUUGCGCCCCCUGGUAUUCCGGGGGGCAUGCCUGUCCGAGCGUCAUUGCUGCCCUCAAGCACGGCUUGUGUGUUGGGCCCCGUCCUCCGAUCCCGGGGGACGGGCCCGAAAGGCAGCGGCGGCACCGCGUCCGGUCCUCGAGCGUAUGGGGCUUUGUCACCCGCUCUGUAGGCCCGGCCGGCGCUUGCCGAUCAACCCAAAUUUUUAUCCAGGUUGACCUCGGAUCAGGUAGGGAUACCCGCUGAACUUAAGCAUAUCAAUAAGCGUAGG